rnacentral:rRNA from 1 species
GCGCACGCUGGCGGCAGGCUUAACACAUGCCAGUCGAGCGGGCAUAGCAAUAUGUCAGCGGCAGACGGGUGAGUAACGCGUGGGAACGUACCUUUUGGUUCGGAACAACUGAGGGAAACUUCAGCUAAUACCGGAUAAGCCCUUACGGGGAAAGAUUUAUCGCCGAAAGAUCGGCCCGCGUCUGAUUAGCUAGUUGGUGAGGUAAUGGCUCACCAAGGCGACGAUCAGUAGCUGGUCUGAGAGGAUGAUCAGCCACAUUGGGACUGAGACACGGCCCAAACUCCUACGGGAGGCAGCAGUGGGGAAUAUUGGACAAUGGGCGCAAGCCUGAUCCAGCCAUGCCGCGUGAGUGAUGAAGGCCCUAGGGUUGUAAAGCUCUUUUGUGCGGGAAGAUAAUGACGGUACCGCAAGAAUAAGCCCCGGCUAACUUCGUG